rnacentral:sRNA from 1 species
UGGUAAUGACUGGAUUCUGGCACUUUAUGGUUAUAGAAACCACUUUUAUAUAUUUUGAUUUCCUCCCCUAAUGCUUAAUUAUCUCCUUGUGGACAUUAUGAUAGAAUGUCAUUGAAGGUAUUAAAAAUGUAAUUAAUUGCUUAACAGUUAUAUCUUGUGAAAACAAUGUGGAAAUCUUUUUACAUUUUUAAUUUUUGGUUCAAACAAACCUAACUAAUCAAAGAGCAGCCACAAAAAUCUUCAAAAUGCUAAUUAGACACAAUAAUGUACAGCUACCAAUUACAGAUUUUAGUGUUUUUGUAUUCCACAGCAACAAACUGCCAAGUCUUAAAAAAAAAGUCAACUAAAGCAUUCUGUUGUUCCCUGAGCUCUACUGUAUAUUCUACUGGAAGAUUUUAAGCUCUGUCAUGGACAUAUGACUAGAAUCACAAAUUUUUUAAAAAGUGUUCAGACAAGGCAAAUAUCUAACUAUGAGCUAUAGAAGUUAAAUAUAUUGAGUAUGUCAGUGUUUGCAUUUUAUUUUUGGAUGGUAUAGAAUUUUAUUAGUUUUCUAUAAUAAUCAUUGCUUAUACUGGCUUACAGUGAUUUACUGUAUUAACAUUAGCUUUUUAUACAGAUCUGAGAUUGUAUCUAAUAAGAUGACUAGAGUCAUGACCAUUUAGUUAAACUAAAAAAUGAAUAGAUUUUUAAAAAAUUAAUUUCAAUGGUCUUUUAUGUUAUAGAGUGAUGGAGUCUAACAAAAUUUUAAAAUCUUGUCACAAAAAAGGAUACAGAAAAGAUUUUGCAUAAUGUUUUAUUAUUAUCCUCUCUAUGAUCUUUUCGCUUAUCAUUUCAGAUAAGACCAGAAAUUCCCAUUCCUGAAGAAUUAGAUGACGAUGAAGAUGUUGAGGAUGUGGAUCUUUCAGUUCCUGGCUCUUGCUAUCUCAAACUGUUGUCACUCACUCCCCCUUUGGUUUUACCAGGUGACUCCUAUUUGGUAGUAGAGAAGCUAGCAUUUUUUAGUGGUUCGAUUUGUCUGAUUGUAUUCUUUUGUGAUAGGUACAUACUAUAGUUUAACCUUAUGUGCUUAUUUUUUAACCAGAAUGUUAAAUGCACCCAUCUGUUCUAUCAAAACAGCUUGAGGUAGUAUGGUGUUUAAAUCAUAUGAAAAAACGUUACAUCUGAGUAGGAUUGAAUAAGAAAACUAGUGUAAACAAUUGUAUUCACUGAUAAUUAAAAUUCAUUUAAAAGGCUAAAUGUAUUCCACAAGAUGAAUUUGCACUGGUACUCUAGGUCAUUGAUUUAAACAAUACUUCUUUCUUACAUAAGCCAAGUGAAAAGAUCAUUAGAUUAUUCAGAGAUUUACUGAGUAGUUUCAUUAUUAUACAUUUAUUCUUUCUAUAGAGUUAUGCCAAAGAUGUUACUGAUAUUUAUUUCAGAGCUAUAAAUUAAUGCUUUUAAACGAUGGAUCAAAUUGUAUGGUCAUUCAGCUUUGAUGUAAAGCUUAUAGGGCCUUUAUCUUUUAAAAAGUAGGCUGGGUAUGAUGGCUCACCCCUGUAAUCCCAACACUUUGGGAGGCUGAGAGAGGCAGAUUGCUUGAGGUCAGGAGUUAAAUACAAAAUUAGCCUGGUGUGGUGGUGCAUGCUGUAGUUCCAGCUAUUUGGGUGGCUGAGGCACAAGAAUCACUUGAAGCUGGGAGGUGGAGGUUGCAGGGAGCUGGGAUCAUGCCACUGCAUUCCAGCCUAGGUGACAGCCUAGGUGACAGCCUAGGUGUCUCAAAAAAAAAAAAAAGUAUUCUAAUGCUUAUAUGUGGUAAUUAUUCUAUAUGUAUAUUGUGUUUAGAAGUACUCACUUGCCCCUAUUACUAUAUGCCCUACCCAAGAAAUGGUAGACGAUACCAUUUGAAAAAUACGUUUGAUUGUGGACUGUGAUUAGGAACUUACAUUAUUUUAUUUUGAAUGUUAUUUUCUGAUCAUUAAAAAGUUAUUUAC